CCGGAUGUCUGUGGAUCCAGCGUUCUUGUUCGUUCGUCGUGGCAUGACUUUUACAGCGGGAGUAUGCACUACAUAUAAGGUGGCCAUUCUAGAAGAUGCUGGCUUGACCUUUCUGGGAGCAACUAUACUUUCUCAUUAUAUCGGGCACCUGCUUGGUUGCCCGGACGACGGCAAGGGUGCGCCAUCAAACCUGCCAGGUUCACCAGGCUCAAGCGCAUGUUCAUUCGACGAUGGAUAUAUAAUGGGUCGCAUUUUGAAGAACCUCAGUGACACGCGAAAGUAUAAAUUCUCCAACUGCUGCGUAUCUAUAAUCAAGUUUGCCCUUGGGACGACCGCCUCGCACAAUGCAUUCUAAGAUGUAGGACGCCUAUUGUGAAUGGGAGAUCUUCGUUAAAAGAAACACCAGCCCCGGAUGGCACCAGGUGCGGAACGUCAAAGAUCUGCAAACAUGGAAUAUGUGUUGCGCCAUGAGAAGGUGUGAAGAGGAUGCCAUCAAAAUAAAUCACUUACAGUUAAAA
rnacentral:misc_RNA from 1 species